rnacentral:rRNA from 1 species
GAUGAACGCUGGCGGCGUGCUUAACACAUGCAAGUCGAACGAAGCACUUUAUUUGAUUUCCUUCGGGACUGAUUAUUUUGUGACUGAGUGGCGGACGGGUGAGUAACGCGUGGGUAACCUGCCUUGUACAGGGGGAUAACAGUUGGAAACGGCUGCUAAUACCGCAUAAGCGCACGGCAUCGCAUGAUGCAGUGUGAAAAACUCCGGUGGUAUAAGAUGGACCCGCGUUGGAUUAGCUAGUUGGUGAGGUAACGGCCCACCAAGGCGACGAUCCAUAGCCGACCUGAGAGGGUGACCGGCCACAUUGGGACUGAGACACGGCCCGAACUCCUACGGGAGGCAGCAGUGGGGAAUAUUGCACAAUGGGCGAAAGCCUGAUGCAGCGACGCCGCGUGAGCGAAGAAGUAUUUCGGUAUGUAAAGCUCUAUCAGCAGGGAAGAUAAUGACGGUACCUGACUAAGAAGCACCGGCUAAAUACGUG